GUCUAUGGUGGCUCAGGCAGGGGCUUCGAAAGAAGCGCCGGUUUCCAUUGUGUCCGGUAACGCUAACCCUGUCUGGGCUGCCACCCUU
rnacentral:antisense_RNA from 1 species